GACGAACGCUGGCGGCGUGCCUAACACAUGCAAGUCGAGCGGUAACGGGCCUUCGGGUGCCGACGAGCGGCGGACGGCUGAGUAACGCGUGGGAACAUACCCCAAUGUGAGGGAUAACCGCCCGAAAGGGUGGCUAAUACCGCAUAUGGUCUUCGGAUUAAAGGAUUUAUCCGCUUUGGGAAUGGCCUGCGUACGAUUAGAUAGUUGGUGAGGUAAUGGCUCACCAAGUCGACGAUCGUUAACUGGUUUGAGAGGAUGAUCAGUCAGACUGGAACUGAGACACGGUCCAGACUCCUACGGGAGGCAGCAGUGAGGAAUCUUCCACAAUGGGCGAAAGCCUGAUGGAGCAACGCCGCGUGCAGGAUGAAGGCCUUCGGGUUGUAAACUGCUUUUAUAAGUGAAGAAUAUGACGGUAACUUAUGAAUAAGCACCGGCUAACUACGUGCCAGCAGCCGCGGUAA
rnacentral:rRNA from 1 species